AGCUGGUCCGAGUGCAGUGGUGUUUACAACUAAUUGAUCACAAUCAGUUACAGAUUUCUUUGUUUCUUCUCCACUCCCACUGCUUCACUUAACUAGCCAAAA
ensembl:misc_RNA Y_RNA Y RNA